rnacentral:rRNA from 1 species
AACGAACGCUGGCGGCAUGCCUAACACAUGCAAGUCGAACGAAGGCUUCGGCCUUAGUGGCGCACGGGUGCGUAACGCGUGGGAAUCUGCCCUUGGGUUCGGAAUAACUCAGAGAAAUUUGAGCUAAUACCGGAUGAUGACGUAAGUCCAAAGAUUUAUCGCCCAAGGAUGAGCCCGCGUAAGAUUAGCUAGUUGGUGGGGUAAAGGCCUACCAAGGCGACGAUCUUUAGCUGGUCUGAGAGGAUGAUCAGCCGCACUGGGACUGAGACACGGCCCAGACUCCUACGGGAGGCAGCAGUGGGGAAUAUUGGACAAUGGGCGAAAGCCUGAUCCAGCAAUGCCGCGUGAGUGAUGAAGGCCUUAGGGUGUAAAGCUCUUUUACCAGGGAUGAUAAUGACAGUACCUGGAGAAUAAGCUCCGGCUAACUCCGUGCCAGCAGCCGCGGUAAAGUAUCGUA